UUGACUCGGAUCUUUUUCUAGUGCCCCGUUUUCCC
rnacentral:rRNA from 1 species